rnacentral:rRNA from 1 species
CCUACGGGCGGCUGCAGUAGGGAAUAUUGGACAAUGGGCGAAAGCCUGAUCCAGCAAUGCCGCGUGAGUGAUGAAGGCCUUAGGGUUGUAAAGCUCUUUUACCCGAGAUGAUAAUGACAGUAUCGGGAGAAUAAGCUCCGGCUAACUCCGUGCCAGCAGCCGCGGUAAUACGGAGGGAGCUAGCGUUGUUCGGAAUUACUGGGCGUAAAGCGCACGUAGGCGGCGAUUUAAGUCAGAGGUGAAAGCCCGGGGCUCAACCCCGGAACUGCCUUUGAGACUGGAUUGCUAGAAUCUUGGAGAGGCGAGUGGAAUUCCGAGUGUAGAGGUGAAAUUCGUAGAUAUUCGGAAGAACACCAGUGGCGAAGGCGGCUCGCUGGACAAGUAUUGACGCUGAGGUGCGAAAGCGUGGGGAGCAAACAGGAUUAGAUACCCGAGUAGUC